rnacentral:rRNA from 1 species
CAGCCGCCGCGGUAAAACGUAGGUGGCAAGCGUUGUCCGGAAUUAUUGGGCGUAAAGGGAGCGCAGGCGGGUCUUUAAGUCAGGGGUGAAAUCCUGGAGCUCAACUCCAGAACUGCCUUUGAUACUGAAGAUCUUGAGUUCGGGAGAGGUGAGUGGAACUGCGAGUGUAGAGGUGAAAUUCGUAGAUAUUCGCAAGAACACCAGUGGCGAAGGCGGCUCACUGGCCCGAUACUGACGCUGAGGCACGAAAGCGUGGGGAGCAAACAGGAUUAGAUACCCCGGUAGUCCCUGUCUCUUAUAA